CUUGCAGUUUGAUCUCAGACUGCUGUGCUAGCAAUCAGCGAGACUCCGUGGGCGUAGGACCCUCCGAGCCAGUGAGAUGAACCCGGUACCUCAGAUGGAAAUGCAGAAAUCACCCGUCUUCUGCGUCGCUCACGCUGGGAGCUGUAGACCGGAGCUGUUCCUGUUCGGCCAUCUUGGCUCCUCCCUCAGGAUGAAAUUAUGAAUUUUUAAAAUCUAAAAAAUAAGAGAAGGAAGAAGGAAUUGACUUCCAAUGUUUUGCUAAAAAGAUUAUUCAUGAUGAUCCAAGAGCACAUCCACCCCUCACAAUCACCAUCACCACCUAGUCGGGUCCUCUAUUCCUCCAACUAGGGCCAAGCAUGGAAAUGGCCAGGGCUGGAGUAAGUGAUUCUGUAUUUGUCUAAACAUGUGUCUGGUCAUUCCACGAAGAAAAUGCAAAUAAUUUCAGGAAUCAUCA
rnacentral:lncRNA from 10 species